GAUUGCAGGUUUUGUGGGUACAGCUUUCCAUUCACAGUCAGAGGAACUCCCAGGUUAUUUUUGCCACCACAGCAAAGUAAUUCAAAGUGCUUACAGAAAGUGGGUUGUCACCUUGAACAGGUACAAGGUGAGAAAAAUGGCAACAAUAAUGAAGUGGGCUGAGCUCUAACUGUUUACUGCAGCUUAACAGAUACACAGAGCGCACACAGUGUGCUUCAACAGCACAGGGGAGCACAAUUUAUGACGGGAGUAACUGUUCUGUGUUGAGAAAAACUGUAUUGUAGCAGGUUGUAUCAGCAAAACUGUUUUCUCUGAUAGGAUCUGUUGUAUCCGUGGAAUAGUGAUGAUUUUAAAGCACUGAUGUUGUGCUCAGUGGUAGAAGACAAGUUGCAGCUCAGUAUCAUACUGGUGCAAGAAUAAAUCAAACUGAUAAAGCACUUUCCCCAUGGCUAAAACCUUUUAAAACAUCAUUUUGGUUUGGGAAACAGCCAUGAGCUAUAAUUGCCAUAAUAAUGAAAUAGAGAAAUGGGAAGCAAGGAUCACAUUCCAGGACAUGGCUUAUUUUUCUGAAACAAAGCAAAUAACAAAAAUAACACUUUUUCUUCAGGAAGUUGUCUUCCUAUUGAGUGUGUUGACUGAAUCUGCAUUAUACUAUAGUGAGAAACUCAAAUACUGAUAUACAUUUAAGUAUUCAAGGUGCUGCCAUUUUACAUCAUAAUCUAUAGUUCAUUUGCAGUUCUAUCCCUACAGAAAUUAUUCUGCCAUCUCGUUAUUUUAUUCCUUUUAUGUUGCACUUUAUGAGCAAAGAAUUGUCUCUUCGUUUAGUUCCAGAAAACACCUUGUGUGUUGAGGAAAACAUUUCUCUUUGGUGUUCCUUGGUUUUUCCUUUGCCGUGAAUGUUUAGUGAGUAUCAGCUGUUGGGGGGAGGAAGCCACAAAGACAGUUGCUUUGGUUUUUGAAUGAAAAAACUUUCCCAGUGAUUUUGUUUCCUUCCCGUGACAAUUGGUUUUGUUUCCCCUGGCAAGGUUUUUGUCGUCCUUUGCAGAAGGAGCUUUAGAGGGGACGGUUUGAAAAUACAUCACUAAAGGUCAUUGUGAUUGUGGUUUCAUUUGAAAUAGAAGCUGUGCAGUGUGUACCCUGGCACCUGCAGGACUGGGCAGAACAAGCUUCCUGUGGUGGACCCUACUGAUUCCAUGAGAGGCUGUGAGCCAAAGGUUCUGGUUUUAGGUACAAGAUGUAACUGAAAUAAACCAAGGUUGAGCCCCACACCAUCACUUCAGUGCUGGCAGCUUCCAAGCACAGACAGCUCAACCCUGGCUACUUGCUCAAACUACCCUCGUGUUCGAUUUGGACAGUGCUUUCAACCCUGUGAACAAAGGCAAUGUGUUUACCGGUUAAGAUUUCAAGACAAGUGGUGCCAGCUUUGCUUUAAGAAUAUCCCCAAAAAGCUGAUUGCAAGGAUUGAGGAGAGAAACCGAGAUAAAACAGGAAGACUGAUGCUGAGUGGAAAGUGUCCCAGGGAAGGAGAAUCCUGAACUGCUCAGCUAUACUGCAGAUACACAACAGAUGUUUGUGGUUACAGUCAGUAACUGGAACAUGCAAACUGUUGAGGCUAGAGAUUUUGUAGUGGGAAUAGAUGAUACCACACUGCUAAAAGGGAUUAUGCAAAAGCUGGCCGGAGCAGCAGAACAAAAGCCGCAGCCUAACAGGCGUGCUCACAACUUCGUCAAAAGCCCAAAGCUACAAGCGACCUCUCGAGCCCUGAGGCACCUCAUGCAGCUACAACAUGCUGAAGAUAAACUCUGCUUAUUCCUAAGCAUGUUUUCGAGCAGUUUGUGAAGUGAUUUAAUAUAUUUCCUACAAAGCAGAGAAGAAAUUUCUACGGAAUUCUGUGUAAUCUUGUACUGAAAGGCACCUCAGAAAGGCACCAGGAGAAAACCCCAAUUCUGACUGUCCCUGCAUCCUCCAUUACAGAAACCCUCUGCGCAGCUCCCAACCAGGAGUCAGUAAAUCCCGUAUCUACGCCAGGCGUUACAACAUGAAGUUUGCGGAGCACAACCCGGCCGCGCAUUCCCACUGAUAAUGAAGAAACAAAUUGGAGCUUCUGGAACAAAUCCUAAGCCAGGCUCGGACAUGGGUCUGCCCGCGGAGAGCCCUCCCGUCCUGCUCCGGGAGCGCUUUGUUUUAGGCCUCACACACACACAACGCGCGGGGAGGAAAGUCGGGGAGCUCGGCACAACUCGCCCUUCAAACCUGACAGAACUUGGCUGGGGAGUGUGAAAGAAGAAAUUAAACAGUAGUAAAUACAGGCGGGACAAAAGCCCUUUUCUCGUUGUGUAACGAACGCAAUACUGAUAGAUUACUGCCCGGUUUCCAUGGGGACCUUUUUGUUCUAACUCCAGAUACCGAUGAUUAGGGUUAAA